UGUUCAUUGCACGCACUCUCUCACCGGUCAGAGAGGCGAGAGAGUGUGUGUGAAAUGAAGAGA
rnacentral:pre_miRNA from 1 species